GAUGCUGUUCGGCAACUACAACACGGACCAGGCGAGCACGUACGCGCCGCAGAUCGUGGACACCAUCUCCGCCGGCGUGGAGAAGCUGGUGGCGAUGGGGGCGACGGACGUGGUGGUGCCGGGCGUGCUCCCCAUCGGCUGCUUCCCCAUCUACCUCACCAUCUACGGCACCUCCAGCGCCGCCGACUACGACUCCCUCGGCUGCCUCAAGAAGUUCAACGACCUCUCCACGUACCACAACAGCCUGCUCCAGGCCAAGGUGUCCACCCUCCAGGCCAAGUACAAGUCGGCCCGCAUCAUGUACGCCGACUUCUACGCCGGCGUCUACGACAUGGUCCGGAGCCCCAGCAAAUACGGUACGUCUACAUGCCUACACACUAGUCAUAAUACGUACUGGAGGACAUGAUUUCAUGCACACGCCGGCGGCUAGUCUCGCCGUGGCGGCACUGUGGGUGGGUGGAUUUCAGUUUUCAAACUCGCCGUGGACCACGUCCUCCGUUGUCGGCGCAGAGCGUUUCUCGUUGUUGGACGCGCCCGUCACGCUCUGUCCUGGCAGUGCGGCAGCACCAGCACGGGACAUGCAUGCAUGGUGGCGGGAUUAAAUGAAGGAUUAUUCGGCGUUUAAGGCUCAUGCAGUGCCGCACUGCUGCACCACACCACUUGCUCUGCACUGCUGGCCGGUAGCGUGGUCACCACCACAUGCCCGUCCGUGCGUCCGUGCGUGCGACGGCCGUAGGGACGGAUUCCUGCCGUUAGCCCGGGCUGCGCGCUCCGGCGCCGGCCGUGGGAGCGUGAUCGUGUCCAGUGCCCAGUCCUGCCUGCACGCGGUCGAUCGCCGGCCGGUGAAUAGAAAACUAGGUCGCGGGCCGACACGGGCGCGCUCGUGAUCCCGAGCGAGUAACGACAUCCCAUCACGGGGAAAAUAAUGGCGGAUGCGCGGGGUUUGGUAGGCGCUGUUCCUUUAAAAUCGGCGCUACUUGCAGAAGCAAACAGCCGUUGCUCUGUUUCCCCAACCCAACACAUGCAUGCAGCCCCGGUGGCGGUGGGUGGUGAACGCCCGCCGGGACACACGCCACUGCUCCCGCACGUUGCCGAUCGGUCUCAAAACCCUCGGAAUCUUCGUACGAGGGAUCCAUCCAUGAUGGAUGCUGGAUAUUGCAGAGCAAGAAACCAAAACGAUGAACCAACGAACACUGUGGUGUGGUGUGGUAUGAUAUGAUUCCGAUUCAAGAUCUGACUCGCGUGGAUGUGGAAUGCAGGUUUCAGCUCGGUGUUCGAGGCGUGCUGCGGGUCGGGGGGAGGCAAGUACAACUACGCCAACAGCGCGAGGUGCGGCAUGUCCGGCGCCUCCGCAUGCGCCAGCCCGGCGUCGCACCUCAGCUGGGACGGCAUCCACCUCACCGAGGCCGCAUACAAGCAGAUCACCGACGGAUGGCUCAACGGCGCCUUCUGCCACCCCGCCAUCACCCACUAGCCACCCCACCUCAGUCCGUGCAUGCAUGCAUGGGCGCAUCAAAAACCUCAUCGUCGUCGUCGUCCAUGAAUCCAUAAUCAAUCAAUCAAUCAACCGAUCGAUUAUCAUUAUAUUAUUAUUAUAAUUAUUAUUAUUUGUUCAGUCGGGUUAACUAUCAUAACGUGUCUGGGGACCGGCCAAGGCUAAGGUUCCCGGUCUGAUCCGGUGGCAAAAGAAUCGGGGCGCGUCUGUGGUGACGAGUGAAGAAGGAAGAAGAAGAAGAUGACGGCAAGCGUCGUGGAAUAGUAGUGCGGCCCGUGCUGCUGUUGUUGUUGUGAACCUGUAACCUGAUAGUAG
rnacentral:lncRNA from 1 species